UCCAAGUCGGAAAAUAUACAGUGGCCUUCCUUCAUCAUAAUCUAAACCUCAGUCUCUUCCAGCGUAGCCGGAUUCGUUGCCUCCUCCGCGAGACUGCCCCUCCUUUGCCGGCUCUGCCCUGUUACCAGCUACAAGUGGUGUGGCAUGCGAGGCAUAUGGUUUAUGGUUUAUGAUACGGAAGUUGCGAUUAAUGAGAUUGUUACUGGAAAGUUGAAUAAAAAGUUGGAAGAGAGUCGUGUCUACAUUGAAUUGGUAUAUUUACUAGUUACAAUUUUCAUGCCUAUUUUUUAUCUAAUCCCAACAACUGAUGCCAGCUAGUAUCAGCUUAUUUUGUCGGAUACUGUAAAUUUUAGCAAUAACUGUAAGUGGUCAUUUAUAUGAAUUCUUUUAGAAGUUUAUUGGUUAAUCGAAUAAGAAUCGGACUUAGCUUGCUUUUUGUUUUGACCACCUAUUCGAAUCGAGUUUAGUAGUUUACUUGUUCAGUUUCAGUUUGUGAUUUUCAAGUGCAGUUGAUCUAUUUUCAACCGAUGACCAUUCUAAAAAAAAAGACCCGACCGACCCGACCCGACCCGAACCUGUUCUGAACUGGACCCGUUCCAACCCGGAUCCGUUUCGACACGAACCAAAACAACCCUUCUUUAUUAUUGACCCAUUUUGACUCAUGACCUGACCCGACCCGUUUGCCAGGUCUAUAUUUGUUUAUUCGGUUCAAGUCCCAGGUACCAAAAAUAAAAUCAGUAUGCUUCUCUUUUUGAACAAUAUUUCUGCAAAAAUGUUGAUAUAAUAUUUUGUUAAUUUAUUCAGGCGACAAACACUGCCGCCUUCACGCAUUGCGUACCGCCACUAUCGUUUCUUGUUUAUUCUGUGCGUAACUAUUGAGGAUUUUCAAAAGUUACAUCACCAUCUGGACAGGGGAAUCAAAUCAAGGAUAAUUUCAUAAAUUCUUCUGCUCAGGAUUUGGAAUUUGCAAUGACAUUGGAUAAGAGCUGGACUAAAAUCACUAAUAAGGUAGAUCCAGUGUUCAUUAAUGGAGCGAUAGCUUUUGCAGAAAGGGGUAAAACAUAUGUUGAUAGUGAAGGUAGGAUACAUUGCCCAUGUUAAAAGUGUGUGAAUGCAAGAAGACAUGUUCCCACAGUUGUUGCUGAUCAUAUCAUUUAUAAUGGUUUUGAACCAUCAUACAAUGUAUGGAUUCAUCACGGUGAACAUCUGCCGAGUUAUGAAACAGACCAAACAGAUAGUGACUAUGAAGAAAGUGAAAAUGAAUCACAUGACGGUGUCAAUGAGCUACUUGAUGACGCUUUUCCUACGGGCGGCGAAACUGAAGCUGAAAACUUCAUGGAAGGUGCCAGUCUACAUAAUAACCCAAAGGUGGAGAAGUUAUUUGUUGACAUGGAGAAGCCUUUAUACCCGGGGUGUGAUGAGUUUUCUGUACUAGGCUUUUUACUAGAGUUGAUGAACGUGAAGGUAACAUGCAAAAUGACAAAUGCGUCAAUGGAUAUGAUUCUAAAUUUAUUUAGCCGGGCCUUCAAGGAUGCAAACUUACCGAAGAACCAUUAUGAGGAGAAAAAGUAUUUACGUACUCUUGGACUAGGAUACGAAUCUAUUCAUGCUUGUAAACAUGACUGUGCAUUAUUUUGGAAAGAAAAUGCAGAAUUACAAAAUUGCCCCGUGUGUGGCACUAGUCGUUAUGAAGAAAAUAAUAAAGGGAAGAAAAAACCGGUAAAAAUUUUACGUUACUUUCCCAUCACAAGUAGACUUAAGCGCUUAUAUGCCUCAAGACACACUGCUAAGGAAAUGUUGUGGCAUGAUCGAUACAGAACCAAAGAGGAGGGGGGUUCUUAGGCAUCCAGCAGACGGAAAGGCAUGGAAACACUUUGAUACGAUGUUUCCUGAUUUUGCAAAGAAUCCUAGAAAUGUUCGCCUAUGGCUUGCAAGUGAUGGUUUCAAUCCGUUUGGUGCAAAAAGUCUCUCCUAUAGUAUGUGGCCAGUUGUGCUCAUACCAUACAAUAUGCCUCCUUGGAAGUCUAUGGUCGAUGCUUCAUUUAUGUUGACAUUGUUGAUUCCUGGAAGCGAUUCACCAGGUAACGAUAUUGAUGUAUUUUUGCGUCCACUCAUCGAUGAGUUGAAACUUCUAUGGGAUAAGGGUGUUGAAACAUAUGAUUGUGAAUCAAAACAGAAAUUCAACAUGCGUGUCUCACUUCUAUGGACAAUUAAUGAUUUUCCUGCGUACGGUUAUUUGUCUGGAUGGAGCACGAGUAGAUAUAAGGCAUGUCCAAUAUGCAAUGAAGAUGCGAGCAGUAUACGUUUACGAGAUAGAAUAGGAUAUGUAGGUCAGGCGAUUUCUCCUGACCAAUCACUCUUGGAGGAAAGCACGAGAUUUUAAUGGACAGAGAGAGACUAGGCUUGCACCUAAACUUGUCAAUGGAGAUGAUUGCUUACAUCAGUUGAAACAUCUCCCUAUACAUCAACAUGGAAAACAUCCGGAUCAUGUAGGUAAAAAGAGAAAACGGAACCCACAUGAUAAUAUAAACUGGUCAAAGAAAAGCAUCUUCUUCGAACUCCCAUAUUGGCCUAAGUUAUUGAUUCGUCACAACAUUGACGUGAUGCAUGUUGAAAAAAAUGUGUGAGAAUGUGUUGGGAACCCUCUUAAACAUAGAAGGAAAGACGAAAGACACUGACAAAGCCCGACUAGAUUUGGAAGAUAUGAACAUACGUAAAGAGCUUCACUUGGUCAGAAAGAAUGAUCAUUGGGUUAAACCACAUGCUUUGUAUGUUGUAACUCGAGAUGAGAGAAAACAAUUUUGUAAUUUACUUAGCUCUGUGCGUUUUCCAGAUGGGUAUGCUGGGUAUGCUGGACAUUUAGCUAAAAAUGUGAUUGUUGAGCAAGGUAAGGUACAUGGGCUAAAAUCACAUGAUUGUCACGUCUUAAUACAACGUCUAAUUCCUAUUGCAAUUCGUCCCUUUAUGACAAAAGAAAUUCGUGAUGCAUUAGUGGAGUUGUCCCAGUUUUUCAAGAAACUUACUCAAGCCACAUUACACGUGAACGAGUUGGAAGUGUUGCAAGAAGAUGUAGUUAAGAUUUUGUGCAAGCUUGAACGUAUAUUCCCCCCAUCAUUUUUUACAGUUAUGGUGCAUUUGUGUGUGCAUCUUCCUCAAGAGGCAAUUUUGGGAGAACCGGUACAAUCGAGGUGGAUGUAUCCAAUUGAAAGAUACAUUGGCCAUUUAAAAAAAUAUGUUAAAAGCUUAGCUAAACCUGAAGGCUCGAUAGCAGAAGCUUAUGUUGUUGAAGAAGCUAUAACAUUUUGUUCACACUAUUUACAAGGUGUUGAAUCCAAGUUGGACAAACGUGACAGAAAUGAUGGCAAAACCUCUAAUGAUGCUCAAAGUUGUGCGUUGGAUGUUUUUAGAUUGAAUGGCCGAGGUAUUGGGAAGAAAGAAGUUCAUAUCCUUCCUAGUAAUCUUAUGAAAAAAGCAAUAUGGUUUAUCUUCAACAAUUAUC